AGUGAACGCUGGCGGUAGGCCUAACACAUGCAAGUCGAACGGCAGCACAGUAAGAGCUUGCUCUUACGGGUGGCGAGUGGCGGACGGGUGAGGAAUACAUCGGAAUCUACUUUUUCGUGGGGGAUAACGUAGGGAAACUUACGCUAAUACCGCAUACGACCUACGGGUGAAAGCAGGAGAUCUUCGGACCUUGCGCGAUUGAAUUAGCCGAUUUCGGAUUAGCUAGUUGGCGGGGUAAAGGCCCACCAAGGCGACGAUCCGUAGCUGGUCUGAGAGGAUGAUCAGCCACACUGGAACUGAGACACGGUCCAGACUCCUACGGGAGGCAGCAGUAGGGAAUAUUGGACAAUGGGCGCAAGCCUGAUCCAGCCAUACCGCGUGGGUGAAGAAGGCCUUCGGGUUGUAAAGCCCUUUUGUUGGGAAAGAAAAGCAGCAGGUUAAUACCCCGCUGUUCUGACGGUACCCAAAGAAUAAGCACCGGCUAACUUCGUG
rnacentral:rRNA from 1 species